AGAUCCAAAAUGUUACAAAAAGUUUUCUUGUCGUUUUUUUUAAUUGGAGCAAUAUGUCAAAUUUAAACGUUGAUUGCAAAAUACAAAACGCAUCACAACAUUAUUAUCUAUAGUGAAACCAAUAUACUACUAGCCACACUCAGAAUCUAUAAUCGCAUUUAUAUUUUCCGUUGGAAUUCGUUAAAUUAUUAUUUUUUUCGAUUCGUCCUAAAUAAAUUCCCGGUCGUUUUCGUCUAAAACGAAUAUUACAAACAAUACUUAACGUCUAACAGAUAACGCGCGCAUACGAGUAUAAUAUUGACACAGUUGUCGACAAAUGUAUAAAUCCAAAUCGAAUGAGUCUAUAGCUGUUUUUAAGAUUAUCGUCGUAUUUCGUGUAGAUAAUGCGGUGCGCCUAAUAGGUAUUCCGACUGAAAUGCCGGUUUUAAUAAUAGUAAUAAUAAUACGUAUGAAGUACGAAUAAUUUUGAAAUUCAAGUCGAACCAUUAUACCGGAACGCGUUGUCAUUAUCAUAUUUUGUUUGUAACGAACGAAU